rnacentral:lncRNA from 10 species
ACCCCAUCUCUACAAAAAAAUAAAAAAUAAAAAAAUUAGCCAGGCAUGGUGGCAUGCGAUUGUAGUCUCAGCUACUCAGGAGGCUGAGUCAGGAGGAUUGAUUUAUUUAACCCCAUUAGGUCGAGGCUGCAGUGAACCAAUGUUGCACCACUGCACUCCAGCCUGGGCAACAGCAAGGCCCUGUCUCAACAACAACAAAAAACCUGUUGCUAUCUCUGUUUCCCCUAUCCCUUCAUUCCCUCUUAUCCCCAGCUAAGAUUU